rnacentral:rRNA from 1 species
GAUGAACGCUGGCGGCGUGCUUAAUACAUGCAAGUCGAACGAAGCACCUUGGACAGAAUCCUUCGGGAGGAAGACCAUUGUGACUGAGUGGCGGACGGGUGAGUAACGCGUGGGUAACCUGCCUUGUACAGGGGGAUAACAGUUGGAAACGACUGCUAAUACCGCAUAAGCGCACAGUACCGCAUGGUACGGUGUGAAAAACUCCGGUGGUACAAGAUGGACCCGCGUCUGAUUAGCUUGUUGGUGAGGUAACGGCCCACCAAGGCGACGAUCAGUAGCCGACUUGAGAGAGUGAUCGGCCACAUUGGGACUGAGACACGGCCCAAACUCCCUACGGGAGGCAGCAGUAGGGAAUAUUGCACAAUGGGGGAAACCCUGAUGCAGCGACGCCGCGUGAAGGAAG